rnacentral:rRNA from 1 species
CAGUAGCCGCGGGAAUACGUAGGGGGCAAGCGUUAUCCGGAUUCAUUGGGCGUAAAGCGCUCGUAGGCGGUCUGUUAGGCCGGGAGUUAAAUCCGGAGGCUCAACCUCCGUUCGCUCCCGAUACCGGCAGACUUGAGUUUGGUAGGGGAAGGUGGAAUUCCUAGUGUAGCGGUGGAAUGCGCAGAUAUUAGGAAGAACACCAGUGGCGAAGGCGGCCUUCCGGGCCAUAACUGACGCUGAGGAGCGAAAGCUAGGGGAGCAAACAGGAUUAGAUACCCCCGUAGUCCCUGUCUCUUAUACA